rnacentral:rRNA from 1 species
GUGGGGAAUCUUAGACAAUGGGGGAAACCCUGAUCUAGCCAUGCCGCGUGAGCGAUGAAGGCCUUAGGGUUGUAAAGCUCUUUCAGCUGGGAAGAUAAUGACGGUACCAGCAGAAGAAGCCCCGGCUAACUCCGUGCCAGCAGCCGCGGUAAUACGGAGGGGGCUAGCGUUGUUCGGAAUUACUGGGCGUAAAGCGCGCGUAGGCGGACCAGAAAGUUGGAGGUGAAAUCCCAGGGCUCAACCUUGGAACUGCCUUCAAAACUACUGGUGUGGAGUUCGAGAGAGGUGAGUGGAAUUCCGAGUGUAGAGGUGAAAUUCGUAGAUAUUCGGAGGAACACCAGUGGCGAAGGCGGCUCACUGGCUCGAUACUGACGCUGAGGUGCGAAAGCGUGGGGAGCAAACAGGAUUAGAAACCCGAGUAGUCC